GACGAACGCUGGCGGCGUGCUUAACACAUGCAAGUCGAACGAUGAACUUGGAGCUUGCUCUGGGGGAUUAGUGGCGAACGGGUGAGUAACACGUGAGUAACCUGCCCUGGACUCUGGGAUAACUUCGAGAAAUCGGAGCUAAUACCGGAUAGGACCUUGCACCGCAUGGUGUGGGGUGGAAAGGUUUUCGGUUUGGGAUGGACUCGCGGCCUAUCAGCUUGUUGGUGGGGUAAUGGCUCACCAAGGCGUCGACGGGUAGCCGGCCUGAGAGGGUGACCGGCCACACUGGGACUGAGACACGGCCCAGACUCCUACGGGAGGCAGCAGUGGGGAAUAUUGCACAAUGGGCGCAAGCCUGAUGCAGCAACGCCGCGUGCGGGAUGACGGCCUUCGGGUUGUAAACCGCUUUUAGUAGGGAAGAAGCCUUCGGGUGACGGUACCUGCAGAAAAAGGACCGGCUAACUACGUGCCAGCCGCCGCCGUAAUAC
rnacentral:rRNA from 1 species